rnacentral:rRNA from 1 species
UACGUAGGGGGCUAGCGUUAUCCGGAAUAACUGGGCGUAAAGGGUGCGUAGGUGGUCUAUCAAGUCAGGAGUUAAAAGCUACGGCUUAACCGUAGUCAGCUUUUGAAACUGAUGGACUUGAGUGCAGGAGAGGAGAGUAGAAUUCCUAGUGUAGCGGUGAAAUGCGUAGAUAUUAGGAGGAAUACCAGUAGCGAAGGCGGCUCUCUGGACUGUAACUGACACUGAGGCACGAAAGCNUGGGGAGCAAACAGGAUUAGAUACCCUGGUAGUCCACGCCGUAAACGAUGAGUACUAGGU